UUAACUAUUUUAUAGUACUCAGACGACAUUUAUUACAGAGUUGUGGUCCUCUGGUGGGCACUAACUAGCCGAAGCCAGUGCUUGCGCGGCCCACCAAAGCAACAAAUUAAGAUAAUCAAGGGUUAGAAGGACCGGUUUCCCGGCUUCAUUUUUAAUGAUCCUUCCGCAGGUUCACCUACGGAAA
rnacentral:misc_RNA from 1 species